UUCACCGGAAAUUAGAAUGGCUUGUGGGUGAGGUAGAGAAGCACGCGCUGCUGCCGCGAUUGCAAAAAGAUGUGGUGUUUGAGGUUCCAUAGCAGUGCCGCCUCAUGCAGAUCGUGAAGGCGCGUCAUGUCUUCCACACCAGUGGGUCCGAGCUCCUCUCGAGGCCAUACUGGGUCACCAUCUUCUUCGCCAUUACCCAUUUGGAGAGCAAAAGUUUGGGGCUGUAAAAGAUUUUUGACAAGUUAAUUUAAUUCUUGACAAAUAUAAUAUAUGAUACUAAGCAUAUUA